rnacentral:rRNA from 1 species
AGAGUUUGAUCCUGGCUCAGGAUGAACGCUGGCGGCGUGCUUAACACAUGCAAGUCGAACGAAGCACUCUACUUGAUCUCUUCGGAGUGAUUGUUUUGUGACUGAGUGGCGGACGGGUGAGUAACGCGUGGGUAACCUGCCUCAUACAGGGGGAUAACAGUUGGAAACGACUGCUAAUACCGCAUAAGCGCACAGGGUCGCAUGACCUGGUGUGAAAAACUCCGGUGGUAUGAGAUGGACCCGCGUCUGAUUAGCCAGUUGGUGGGGUAACGGCCUACCAAAGCGACGAUCAGUAGCCGACCUGAGAGGGUGACCGGCCACAUUGGGACUGAGACACGGCCCAAACUCCUACGGGAGGCAGCAGUGGGGAAUAUUGCACAAUGGGGGAAACCCUGAUGCAGCGACGCCGCGUGAGCGAAGAAGUAUUUCGGUAUGUAAAGCUCUAUCAGCAGGGAAGAAGAAAUGACGGUACCUGACUAAGAAGCACCGGCUAAAUACGUGCCAGCAGCCGCGGUAAUACGUAUGGUGCAAGCGUUAUCCGGAUUUACUGGGUGUAAAGGGAGCGCAGGCGGUACGGCAAGUCUGAUGUGAAAGCCCGGGGCUCAACCCCGGUACUGCAUUGGAAACUGUCGGACUAGAGUGUCGGAGGGGUAAGUGGAAUUCCUAGUGUAGCGGUGAAAUGCGUAGAUAUUAGGAGGAACACCAGUGGCGAAGGCGGCUUACUGGACGAUUACUGACGCUGAGGCUCGAAAGCGUGGGGAGCAAACAGGAUUAGAUACCCUGGUAGUCCACGCCGUAAACGAU